rnacentral:rRNA from 1 species
GACGAACGCUGGCGGCGUGCUUAACACAUGCCAGUCGAACGGAAAGGCCCUGCUUUUGUGGUCUGCUCGAUUGGCGAACGGGUGCGUAACACGUGAGUAACCUGCCCUUGACUUUGGGAUAACUUCAGGUAACUGGGGCUAAUACCGGAUAGCAUCCCCUGCUCCAUGGUGGGGGUUGGAAAGUUUCGGCGGUUGGGGAUGGACUCGCGGCUUACCAGCUUGUUGGUGGGGUAGUGGCUUACCAAGGCUUUGACGGGUCGCGGGCCAGAGGGGGUGACCGGCCACAUUGGGACUGAGAGACGGCAGAGACGCCUAAGGGAGGCAGCAGUGGGGAAUAUUGCACAAGGGGCGGCAGCUUGAUGCAGCAACGCCGCGUGCGGGAUGGCGGCCUUCGGGUUGUAAACCGCUUUCGCCUGUGACGAAGGCUGAGUGACGGUAAUGGGUAGAGAAGCACCGGCUAACUACGUG